CCCGUCCGUCCACUGUCUUCUUUGCCCACCCAGCCACCGCGCCUGACGAAGGUCCAGCGACCAGGCGAUCGAGGGGAGAGAUGGUGAUGGUUAGCGUCGCCCGUCGACGCUGUUGCGCUUUCGAUUGGAUCGAUGCGCGGGCGAGUGCGAUGUCGUAGGAUCGCCACUUCUUCCUCCGGCUUCCCCCACCCGAAGCAAGAUCGUCUGCUGCCUUCUGAAUCGAAGUUCCACGAGGGGAGAGAAGGAGAGUUUUGCUGGUCGUUUUUCUUUGUGGUCUUUCCUUGGUCAUUUUGGUUCCCGGGGUUCAGUUGGGAUCGGGUGGGUUGAUCGGAUGGAGGAGCUUGUCGUUGGAAACAAGUACCGCCUCCGUCGCAAGAUCGGGAGUGGCUCCUUCGGGGAGGUCUAUUUAGGUACUGAUAUCCAAACAAAUGAGGAAAUCGCGAUUAAACUAGAGACUGUCAAAACUAAGCAUCCUCUGCUUCUGCUUGAAUCAAAGCUGUAUAAGAUCCUGCAGGGAGGAACUGGAAUCCCUAAUGUGAGAUGGUUUGGUGUCGAGGAUAAUUAUAAUGUCCUUGUGAUGGAUUUACUUGGACAAAAUCUUGAAGACUUGUUCAAUUUCUGCAGCCGUAAACUCUCUUUGAAGACUGUUCUGAUGCUUGCAGACCAGAUGAUAAAUCGUGUCGAAUUUGUGCAUUCAAAGUCCUUCCUCCACCGAGAUAUCAAACCAGGAAAUUUUACCAUGGGUCAUGGUAGACGAGCUAAUCAGGUGUAUAUUAUUGAUUUUGGCCUUGCCAAGUGGUAUAGGAACGCUUCAACUCAUCAGCAUAUUCCAUACAGAGAGAAUAAAAAAUUAACCGGAACUACUAGAUAUAUGACUGUGAAUACGCAUCUUGGCAUAGAACAAAGCAGGAGGGAUGAUUUAGAAUCUCUUGGAUAUGUUUUAAUGUACUUCUUAAGAGGAAGCCUUCCAUGGCAAGGUCUAAAAGCAGAAACACGAUACCAGAAGUAUGAAAAAGUUGGUAAGAGUAAAGCGACAACAUCAUUUGAGGCUUUGUGCCAUGGAUAUCCUUUAGAGUUUGCUUCUUAUUUCCGUUAUUGCCGUUCAUUAAAAUUUGAGGAGAAGCCUGAGUAUGCAUAUCUUAAGAGAUUGUUCCGGGAUCUUUUUAUCCGUGAAGGUUUGCCAAUUCGAGAUCGGUGUAAAACAAUAAUGAAUUCUGGAUGCUGCAGAAAUUUUCUAAAACAAUUUAUAUUGUUUUUUUAUGUCGAUAAUCUCUAUGCCUGUUUCUCUGCAGGUUUUCAAUUUGAUUAUGUAUUUGACUGGACCGUUUUGAAAUAUCAGCAAGCUCAGAUAGUUGGUGCCCCUCCACGUGCUAUUGUUAGCCUAAAUGCAGAUGGACCAAGUGCAGGACCUAGCUCGGGCAUGGCUCCUGUUGUAGCGAACGAUAGGCAGUCAGGCGGUGAGGAAGGAAAGACAAGUGGAGGGUUGGCGGACCCUUCUCGUCAUGGGCCAUCUCCAACUGUAAAUGUAGGCUGUAAUCGGAAGGCUCCAGCGGCAAGUGAUCUAGCUGACUGUAAAGAUGCUAUGAUUUCCAGUUCUUCUAAUGGGACAGCCAAGCAGUUCCUCAAGAGUUCCUGCUUUUGACGGCCAAGGAACAGUGGCAACUGAGGCAGAUCCAACUCGAAGGCCUGAAUUACGAGGCCACACUGAACAGAAAUUAUCCACAAUCAAGAACGACGAGGCCACACUGAAAGGCAUUGAGGGCCUGAAUUUGAAUAGGAUUGCUGUAUGAAGUGCCAUCCAAAGUACAAAAGAAAUAUCAAGUGGCUCAGACAUUCAAAGAAAUUUUUUGUCCAGAAAGGGUGAAUAGCUUCUACAAUGGCUUCAGGUGUGUUCUUGACGGCGUCAUUCCUCUGUCCAUGAAUCUCCCUGUGAAGGGUUUUCUACAUAUCUGUGAUCACUUUGAUACCAACAAGGCGCACGCACAACACUGUCAGAAAAAACUUACUCACCACGCUAUAACACUGUCAGAAAACCUGCCCCAUUGAUUCUUGGUAUGAACCAAGAGGUGAUAACACCCCGAAUCUAAACGGAAAAGGAACGAUUUUGACCAUGGAAAACUUCUCGGCGAGAAAGAAGGGCAGCGAAUCCCGAUAUCAAAUGAUAAGAAGUGGCGAGAAAAAGAGAAAAAGGACGAUUGUCGAACGAGAACGGCGAAGAUUACCUCUUUGGUUG